AGACGUCUACAUUAGAUACCCGCGUAGUCCCAGCCGUAAACUAUGCGCGUUAGGUGUAUCGGUGACCACGAGUCACCGAGGUGCCGAAGGGAAACCGUGAAACGUGCCGCCUGGGAAGUACGGUCGCAAGGCUGAAACUUAAAGGAAUUGGCGGGGAGCACCACAACGGGUGGAGCCUGCGGUUUAAUUUGGACUCAACGCCGGGAAGCUCACCGGAUAAGACAGCGGAAUGAUUGCCGGGCUGAAGACUCUGCAUGACUAGCUG
rnacentral:rRNA from 1 species